rnacentral:rRNA from 1 species
GCUGCGAGUUAGGUGUUGCAUAUUCCACGCGAAUGUGCAGUGUCGAAGAGAAGUCGUUAAACUCGCCGCCUGGGAAGUAUGGUCGCAAGGCUGAAACUUAAAGGAAUUGGCGGGGGAGCACCACAAGGGGUGCGGCGUGCGGUUUAAUCUAAUUCAACGCAGAGAACCUCACCAGAGGCGACGGCAGAAUGAAGGUCGGGUUGAAGACUCUACCUGACGAGCCGAGAGGUAGUGCAUGGCCGCCGUCAGCUCGUGCUGCAAGGUGUCCUGUUAAGUCAGGCAACGAGCGAGACCUGUAUUCAUAAUUGCUAACUGCUUCUUCGGAAGGACUGAGCACAUUAUGAGAACUGCCCUGGAAACAGGGAGGAAGGUGCAGGCUACGGUAGGUCUGUAUGCUCCGAAUCCCCUGGGCGACACGCGCGCAACAAUGAUAUGGACAAUGGGAUACGACUCCGAAAGGAGAAGUUAAUCCUCGAAACCAUAUCCUAGUACAGAUUGAGGUUUGCAACCCAACCUCAUGACGAUGGAAUCCCUAGUAAUCGGAUGUCAACAUCAUCCGGUGAAUAUGUCCCUGCUCCUUGUUCACACCGCCCGUCAAACCACUCGAGCAGGGUUUAGGUGAGUGCUAGUUUUUUGAUUAGUACGAACCUAAGCUCAGUGAGAUGGGUUAAGUCGUAACAAGGUAGCC